AAAACUGAAGGGGAUUCCUCUGCAGCUGCCUGUGCUUGACAAUGGGCUCCCUUCUCCUCCCCCUUCUCUUCAAGAUAUUAGUCAAAGACUGCAAGGGCAUAGAGGUGAUAAUGGGCACUGUUGCCAAAAUGACGCAUUUUUCCUUCCUGAAGUUAAUGAACCUUGGUCUAUGUAAUCUUCCGGAGCUGAAGAGCAUAUGCGAUGGGACCACGAGAUGCAAUUCCCUCCAGUUGAUAUCUAUUCGCAAUUGUCCAAAACUGAAGGGGAUUCCUCUGCAGCUGCCUGUGCUUGACAAUGGGCUCCCUUCUCCUCCCCCUUCUCUUCAAGAUAUUAGUCAAAGACUGCAAGGGCAUAGAGGUGAUAAUGGGCACUGUUGCCAAAAUGACGCAUUUUUCCUUCCUGAAGUUAAUGAACCUUGGUCUAUGUAAUCUUCCGGAGCUGAAGAGCAUAUGCGAUGGGACCACGAGAUGCAAUUCCCUCCAGUUGAUAUCUAUUCGCAAUUGUCCAAAACUGAAGGGGAUUCCUCUGCAGCUGCCUGUGCUUGACAAUGGGCUCCCUUCUCCUCCCCCUUCUCUUCAAGAGAUUCGGAUAAAUCAGCAGACGUGGGAGUCGCUGGAGUGGGAUCAUCCCCUUGCCCGUUCUACACUUG
rnacentral:lncRNA from 1 species